UACGUAGGGGGCAAGCGUUGUCCGGAUUUAUUGGGCGUAAAGGGCGCGUAGGCGGCCAUUCAAGUGACGGGUGAAAGCCCUCGGCUUAACCGAGGAACUGCCUGUCAGACUGGAUGGCUCGAGACCGGGAGAGGUGAGUGGAAUUCCCAGUGUAGCGGUGAAAUGCGUAGAUAUUGGGAGGAACACCAGUGGCGAAGGCGGCUCACUGGACCGGAACUGACGCUGAGGCGCGAAAGCGUGGGGAGCAAACAGG
rnacentral:rRNA from 1 species